rnacentral:rRNA from 1 species
AAUAGAUACCCAGGUAGUCCACGCCGUAAACGAUGGAUACUAGCUGUUUGAGCGCAAGUUUGAGUGGCUAAGCGAAAGUGAUAAGUAUCCCACCUGGGGAGUACGGGCGCAAGCCUGAAACUCAAAGGAAUUGACGGGGGCCCGCACAAGCGGUGGAGCAUGUGGUUUAAUUCGAUGAUACGCGAGGAACCUUACCAGGGCUUAAAUGUAGAUUGACGUAUUUGGAAACAGAUAUUUCUUCGGACAAUUUACAAGGUGCUGCAUGGUUGUCGUCAGCUCGUGCCGUGAGGUGUCAGGUUAAGUCCUAUAACGAGCGCAACCCCUGUUGUUAGUUGCCAGCGAGUAAUGUCGGGAACUCUAGCAAGACUGCCAGUGUAAACUGUGAGGAAGUGGGGAUGACGUCAAAUCAUCACGGCCCUUACGUCCUGGGCCACACACGUGCUACAAUGGCCGGUACAGAGAGCAGCCACUUAGCGAUAAGGAGCGAAUCUAUAGAGCCGGUCACAGUUCGGAUCGGAGU